CACGUCACGGGGUAAGAGCAGGGACACGUCACAGGGGUAGAGCAGGGACACGUCACAGGGGUAGAGCAGGGACAGUCACAGGGGUAAGCGCAGGGACACGUCACAGGGGUAAGAGCAAGGGACACGUCACAGGGGUAAGAGCAGGGACACGUCACAGGGGUAAGAGCAGGGACACGUCACAGGGGUAAGAGCAGGGACACGUCACAGGGGUAAGAGCAGGACGCGUCACAGGGGUAAGAGCAGGGACGCGUCACCAGGGUGGUAACGAGCCAGGGACCACGUCACAGGGGUAAGAGCAGGGACGCGUCACAGGGGUAAGAGCAGGGACGCGUCACGGGGUAAGUAAGAGCAGGGACGCGUCACGGGUAAGAGCAGGGAGCGUCACCGGGGUAAGAGCAGGGACGCGUCAC
rnacentral:lncRNA from 1 species